rnacentral:misc_RNA from 1 species
GCUCUUGGCGUUACUAUAUCCAUCUACACCUGUGAACUGUUGAUUGACUUCGGUCAAUUACUUUUACAAACAUUGUGUAAUGAACGUCAUGUUAUUAUAACAAAAAUAACUUUCAACAACGGAUCUCUUGGCUCUCGCAUCGAUGAAGAACGCAGCAUAGGGGUUUAGUGUAUGGUUGCUGGAGCGGAUCACUGGGUUCGCGUACCGUGGAGCGUGACACAGACUUCGGUGAUUCUUGACUC